rnacentral:misc_RNA from 1 species
GGGAAUACUAACUGUGCACAAAUUAACGCAGAAAAGGUUGCUUUAUUAAAAGAAUAUGACCCUGCAUAUUAAAUUACAAACAAAGACUUGAAAUUGCUAAUCAUUGGAAGUUUGGAACCUAAUAAUAGAUAAAUGAGAAGUUACAUAAAUUAUGAGAAAAUUUAAGGCAGCUCCUAUUCAACAUAAAUUCAAAAUUCUAAC